CAUACCUAACAGACACUGCUCUUAGCUUUUCAGCACUAAUAUAUAUUGGAGGGGGGUGGCAUCUACAGCAGAAUAGAGGAAAGCAAAAAUUCCUUAGCUUGGCAUUAAGGAUGCAGUCCUGUACACUCACUCACUCCCAUUGAGUUCAGUGAUGGGAGUCUUUUAAGGCUUAUUUAUUUGAAUUCAUACAGGAUUACACACUGAUUUCUAAGAGCAUUCAAAGAGAUGUUCAUCUUUGUCUGUUUUAGUAUAGAAAAAGUAGAAUGUAGUAGUGCCAUUGACUAACCAAGUAAAACAAAUUUCUAGCAUUUUUCCUUUCUAAAAGUUUUCUAAGACCUAUAUGUGGGGUGAGGAAGUGGCCCAAAAAGACAAGAAGAAAGAAGGACACAGAAAAGACAAGAAGACAAAAGAAAGGACAAGAAAAGUGUGGAAAGGAAGGCGAUUGACGCUUCCUUUUAUCUUCAGCAGCAGUAUUCUUCAGUAAGUAGUUGCUGUGUCAGAAGGGUGGUAUGUGGAAAAGGAGGGGCGAGAGACAAUGCUGGAAGAGGGGGAGCAGGAAGCAAAACAUUCAGCCAAAUGUGGUGAGUCACAAUGGAAACAUCACUGCAUGUGAAUGUGGCAGAUACUUAGGCAAAUAGAUUAACACCCAGACAGACAGAGCUGAUAAGCCUCUUCAGCCAACUGGACACUUCUUUAUCCUGCUAAAGGAAGAGAGACUUAGGAGGGAGACUAAAAUAAAAACAAAAUCAGGACAGGAUCUGAGCUCACAAAACCACCAAGCUACAGGUACAACAAUUCAGCCAGGGGCUCCAAAAUCUUACUGUAUGGCAGGAGUUUGUAAAGAGAAGAAUGCUCUUCUUAGCUUGAAUAUGUAUGAAUGAAUAGCUUGAAUAUGUACUGUAUGCUACUAAGAAAUAUAUUGAGAGAAUCACUGCAAGGUUCUCUGCAUUCUUGCUGGUUGUUGCUACCAAGCAUCCAUGCAUCCCCCCCCCCCCCAAAUGUUUUGCAACUCUGUCACUGUAGCUGUGAGUGUUAUCAACAGGGCUUCCCUCACAGCUGUUCUUCAUGUGUUAUUUUUGUUGGAGUUAAAAUAAUUUUAUUAGGACCAACCUAAUAUGUGAUUUCAGGUUUCACGGUCAUGUCUAGCUAAGAAGUCUGGAUAAUUGUCCUCACUUUUGUGUAUUUUGGGUUGGUCUUGAUAAAGACAUUGCUUUGCUGUGGAUUGAGAAUUUUUUGUGUACUGCACUGGGUGGGGAGGAAGUUUACCUUGUUUCAGAUUUAUUUCAGUAAACAUUUCCAUUAGAGAUACAUUCUAGGAUAUUAUGUAGGUACUGUUCCAUUAUUCAGGCCAAGGCCAAAAGGGGGCACUAGUCAGAGAAGGAUAGUCCAUUUUAUUGGGGGGGGGGGAGUGGAAGAAGGAAAACCAUUUUCCCCGUUUUUGCUGGUUAUUCCACCUCCCCACUUCCCACUUCCCAUGUCAUAAAAAAGGGUUGUUUCCGUAAAAGGAACAUGGAUUGGGGAAUAACAGGAAAACAGGAGGAAGUGGCUUUCCUCCUUCAAGCCACCCUCCAUCCCUGUAAAAUGGACAAUCAGUCUCUCUCUAGCACCCCCUUGUGGCCUCUACCUGAAUAAUGGAACAGUACCCCGGUGGCGAAGUGCGCUAAAGCACUGAGCUGGAGACCGAAAGGUCCCAGGUUCAAACCCCGGGAGCAGCGUGAGCAGCCACUGUUAGCUCCAGCUCCUGCCAACCUAGCAGUUCGAAAACAUGCCAAUGUGAGUAGAUCAAUAGGUACCGCUCCGGCGGGAAGGUAACAGCGCUCCAUGCAGUCAUGCUGACCACAUGACCUUGGAGGUGUCUACGGACAAUGCCGGCUCUUUGGCUUAGAAAUGGAGAUGAGCACCAACCCCCAGAGUCAGACAUGACUGGACUUAACGUCAGGGAAAACCUUUAUCUUACCUACCAUUCUAGGAUACUCAAUUGGUUUAAAAACUGUUUAAAUCUGAUAUCAUUUGAAUUUGAUUUUUUAAAGAUCCAAUUUCAUAUAUGAAAAUAUUUUAAGGGCUGAUUCAUACAUCCCAUUAGAUCCAAUGCAGAUGUCUCAGUAUGGCAAGGACUACACUCUCACUUCUGGCCCUCCAAUGUUUAUGUGGGGACAUACCAUUUGUGUAAGCUUGCAUAAUCACAUAGAUGCUACAGAGGUGACUGCAUCAGCAUUCCUGUGAUCAGAAUAGUCAUGUAUACAGAACCCAUGUACCGCAGAGGCAACAGUUUACACCAGGCAUGGGCAAACUUCAGUCCUCCAGGUGUUUUGGACUUAAACUCCCAGAAUUCCUUACAGCCGGUAGGCUGUUAGGAAUUGUGAGAGUUGAAGUCCAAAACACCUGGAGGACUGAAGCUUUCACAUGCCUGGUUUACACAAAGCAAGGACAUGGAUCCAUGACGUAACAGUAUCUCUACUGCUAAAGUGAAAAAGCUCUUGUUUAAUUUAUUUAUUGCUCCACUGGACUUAAGUCUGGCUGGAACUAGUAAUCGAAUCUAAGACAGAGAGUUCAUCACCUUUGUCCCAUUUCCAGUAUUUCCUGCUUUGGGGCUCUUUGAAUUUUACAAUGUAACUAGUAAUAACAUAAAUGUUAUGCUUGCUUGCAGACCAAUUUAAAGAAAAUCUGACUGAAGCUAAAUAAAUGCACAAAAACAUCUUUCAGA